GGUCUGGUAGUUCAGUUGGUUAGAAUGCCGCCCUGUCACGGCGGAGGUCGCGGGUUCGAGUCCCGUCCGGACCGC
rnacentral:tRNA from 1 species